GGGGAAUUUUCCGCAAUGGGCGAAAGCCUGACAGAGCAAUACCGCGUGAGGGAUGAAAACUUACUGAGUUGUAAACCUCGGUGCCUUAAAGAAGAAGAUCUGACGGUAUUNNNNGUGGAAAGCAUCGGCUAACUCCGUGCCAGCAGCCGCGGUAAGACGGGGGAUGCAAGUGUUAUCCGGAAUUAUUGGGCGUAAAGCGUCUGCAGGUGGUUUUAUAAGUCUACUGUUAAAUCUUAAGGCUCAACCUUAAAUCUGCAGUGGAAACUAUAAGACUUGAGUAUAGUAAGGGUAGAGNNNAUUUCCAGUGAAGCGGUGAAAUGCGUAGAUAUUGGAAAGAACACCGAUGGCGAAGGCACUCUACUAGGCUAUUACUGACACUCAGAGACGAAAGCUAGGGGAGCAAAUGGGAUUAGAUACCCCAGUAGUC
rnacentral:rRNA from 1 species